ACAUGAGAAAUCAAAUUUGCCUUGAUCUUUUGGCAUAUAAAACGUCUUUGUACCAUUAAAACAUCCAACAAGUUUCAUAGCUUACAUCAAGCAUCAUUUUGUUUUGUAA